ACUACCAUACUGUAACAAAUGCAUUAGAACAUGAUUUAAGAAACAGAGAAACAGUAGCACAUGCCAACAGUCCUGACCAUUUAUUGAGAUCUGUUUAAUGUGUUACUGUUACAACUCCCUUUUAAAUAGGCUCCAUUAAAAAAAUAACAUUUGUAUAGACUUGAAAUGAAUUGUUCACGUCUACAAAAUAACAUUGUCAGUAGAUAACAAACUCAACUGUUAAUUUGUCUUUACCUCUCUGUGUUAUUAGCUAAAUCUAAACUAUGUCUUGGGGAAGAAAGAUGAUCAUGGACCAACAUUCAUUAUAGAUUAACUGUACAGAGCUUCAUACUUUGAAUAAUAUCAAGUCAGGAUAAAGUGUGUCAAUAUCAUAACAAGAAUGACACCUAAUCUUUUGUAAAAUCCUUUUAAUUUGUUACACUCAUUAUUACAGACUCUAGCA